CUUAAACGCUUGGUGCCUCUGAUAUUUUUAUUUUUCCCCCUCUCUCUCUCUGGCACGCUUUCCAUCUUCCAUCUUCAAGUUGUCUCUCUCUCUCUCCCUCUCUCUCCAUUUUUUAUCUACGAGUUCACUCCCGUCGGCAUCAAUUUGUUGAUCCACCUUCACCAAGCCGACAUCGCCGCCCACUCUCUCUCGAUCUCGGUCAGUACAUGGAUAUCACCUCUCUCAGAGCUUUAGGAGUCUUCAACGUUCAAUUGGUACCUCUCAAGUAUCAAAGCAAGCAGGUUGAGGAGGUUACCUUCACAAACUGGAAUAUAUAGAAUUUCCAAUUAUGUUUUCUGUUCAGAAUUCAUUUUGUCCCUUCCUUCUCAAUAGAGUGUUCAUCCAUCAUAAACCAACUGGAAGGUUCUGCAAUGGCAAACUAGCAACUGAUAUCACCGCUGAUGCAAUGGGCUUUACCGCAUACCCGCUAACAUAUCUUAGCCCACAGGCCUUAGGGAAAAACCUUCUUAUCGGAUCCAAUUUUGCUUCUACCGGAUCUAGCUAUGAUGACAAAACUGUAUUCUUGAGUGUAAGAAUUUUAGCUUGUGCUUGCAAUAAGGUGUGUGAAAAACUCGCCAACUUUAACUCAAACCAACCCAAACUCUUAGGGUUACUUGUUUGGAUGGACUGGAUAAGAGCGGAUUGUAAUAGAAUGGACGGUUAGUCCUCAAUAAAUAGUAACUAGAUUAUUUAGCUUGAAA